GACGGGUGGGGAGCAACAUUAUGACUGGUGGGGAGCAACAGACCCAUUAUGACUGGUGGGGAGCAACAAAACCAUAUGACUGGUGGGGAGCAACGACCCAUUAUGACUGGUGGGGAGCAACAGACCCAUUAUUACUGGAGGGGAGCAACAUUGUGACUGGUGGAGAGCAACAAUAUGGUUGGCUGGGACAACAUUAUGAUGGUGGGGAGCACACCAUGAUGACUGGUGGGGAGCACAACCUUAUGACUGGGGGGGGGAGCAACAGACCCAUUUUGACUGGUGGGAGCACCGACCAGGGAAGACUGGUGGGGAGCAAC
rnacentral:lncRNA from 1 species